rnacentral:rRNA from 1 species
UACAGAGGGCGCGAGCGUUGUCCGGAAUCACUGGGCGUAAAGGGCGCGUAGGUGGCCACUAUAAGGCCGCGGUGAAAGUUCGGGGCUCAACCCUGAAUCGGCCGCGGCGACUGUAGGGCUUGGGCACUGUAGAGGCAGAUGGAAUUCCGGGUGUAGCGGUGGAAUGCGUAGAGAUCCGGAAGAACACCGGUGGCGAAGGCGGUCUGCUGGGCAG